rnacentral:rRNA from 1 species
AUGGUGACGGACGUACAAGUUUAUUGUCCCGUGGCAACGCACGGACACUCAACUAGUAUAUAUAGAAGGGGCUUGACCUACUCGCAACGCCGCCGCAUUUCUCCAACCCUCUCACCGCUUCCUCACCACCUCCGAAAGCUCAGCAGGCCAUGGCUGGAUAGACAAGCAUGUCCGCUGAUCGAGCAGCUUAAGCCCUCCAUGCCCUGCGCUCUUCGCGUUCCGAAGGCUCCAGAUCUGAAGUUAGGAAUUGGAGGCUCAGAGAAUUGCAUAUUACUGCUACAGGGUAUUCGAGGAUUAGUUGGUUCGAUGGGUCGCAAGUUUCUGAAUAUGGUCCUGCACGAGUAUGGCAGUAGAAUGUAUUCGCUGUGCCGCAUCAAGCUCUCCACCCAUCUCUUCUAUCCGACAGCAAAAGACGCAACAACAGCCCAUGAAGAUGCAAAUGCAAGGAAGAAGAAGCAUGGGGGAUGGCCAUCAACGAUCUCGAGCUGCAAGCGCCCGCCAAGUACUUUGGUCAACUUCUCGGUGCCACCCAGCACUGCUGCCGCCAGUAACAUGCGUUUCUUCUCCCUCCUGCCUGAGCAGGGAGAGUCCUCUGUCAUUCUUUCGUUCUGCAAACCGUAUGAUUCCAUCACCGUGUCCAUUAGGAACCGAUGCAGCAGCGGCAAUUUCUUGGACCACGAAGAUGAUCACGGCCUCUACGUCAUGAACAGCUUGGACGACAGCUUUGAGUUCUUCAAUUACUGCAAGGUUGGCUUAUCUACCUAUCCGUUACUGUACAAUAAGUGGUACUGGAGUCCUCUGCCGUCUCCACCGUCCCGCACCAGUCCUCUUGUUGCAGCGGCGGUGAUUGACAACUCCACCAUAUGCGCGUCAUCCAAGAACGGCACAUACACCUUUGAUAUUUCGAGGGAGGUGUGGAGCCACACUGGCAGCUGGGUGCUGCCCUUCCACCGCGCAGCAGAGUAUGUCCCUGAGCUUGGACUCUGGUUCGGCCUCCAGGCCCCUGGCACCUGGCAAAAUCGCUUAUGUGCAUUGACCUUUCAUCCUCUGCCAUGGCGGAAUCUGCUCCUUCACCCCUGCAUGAUUGGGAAUACCUCGAUCUCCUGCCUGAUGAGUUGCUGCCGGUGGGGCGUGCCUUGGUGA